rnacentral:rRNA from 1 species
UACGGAGGGGGCAAGCGUUGUCCGGAUUUACUGGGCGUAAAGAGCGCGCAGGCGGUCGUUCAAGUCGCGUGUGAAAGCCCCCGGCUCAACUGGGGAGGGUCACGCGAUACUGAUCGACUCGAAGGCAGGAGAGGGUAGUGGAAUUCCCGGUGUAGUGGUGAAAUGCGUAGAGAUCGGAAAGAACACCAACGGCGAAAGCACUCUGCUGGGCCGACACUGACACUGAGAGACGAGAGCUAGGGGAGCGAAUGGG